UAGGGAAUCUUCCACAAUGGACGCAAGUCUGAUGGAGCAACGCCGCGUGAGUGAAGAAGGGUUUCGGCUCGUAAAGCUCUGUUGUUAAAGAAGAACGUGGGUAAGAGUAACUGUUUACCCAGUGGCGGUAUUUAACCAGAAAGCCACGGCUAACUACGUGCCAGCAG
rnacentral:rRNA from 1 species